UCUCUUUGUCAUCCAGACUGACUAUAGAAGUAUCGUUGUCCUCGAUGCGAAAAGAAAUCCUAGAGUCGAAUACCAAUUUGUCAUAGACUUGCUACAAAGGGUGUACGUGCGCUACGUCAAGAGGAAAGGAUAUUCCGGAAUGGAAAGUUGGUUACAACUUUCCUUGUAUGAUGCAGACUGAGGGCAAUCAUUUAUGUGGCUACUAUGUAUGUGACUUCAUGCAUGGAUGGAUCGAAAACGAUUUUAGUACCAUUAUCAAAGCUGAGGACCUCAAGCUGGAAAUAGGUGUCCUCAUGCCACAGAGAAACAUCGCAAUUCAGGAACAACUCUACAGGUUCAUCAAUGACCAAAUCAUUUCAUAGUCCAGGUGGUACCAUGUUUUCAAAUGGUGAUGUUCGAAA